UGACAGCUAAGGGACCCCCACGUCACCUCUGUGACAAUCUGGAUCCUCCAGAACAGGUUCAUGAAGAGCCUGAUGUGGUUCCAAAGGGGAGCGGGAUGAUGACUGCCAAGGACGACAGGAGGUGAACUGUAGUCCUGCCCCUUGCUAGCAUGGAGACCUGGGGUGAAGGACUCCCCUUCCUGAGCUCCGCCUCCCCCUGUGCACAGUGGGGAAGUGACACUUGCUUCCAAGGGUGCCUGUAGAAGUAGGUGGGGUGGGGUGCGCACACCGCCUGACACGCGCCCGGGAGGCCGUAACAAUUCUUGCUCCGUGGGUCAAACGUGAAAGCCAGCGGCACUGCUUUAUAACCCACUUCGUGGGGGUGGAGUCUUAGCACGUCUUUGUGCAUCUGCGCACUAAGCCCUUAGGACCCCGCCCAUUUGAGCCCAAUAAGCUCUGUCGAUCUGAUUGGCCAGACGGCAGAGGAAGCGCAGAGGAGGGACAGGUGGGCACAGGCAGCAAAGAAAAGCGAGUUAUGGCAGUCUAACGAGGAAAGCGGGCAGAAGAGCCCACUGGACGAGGAUAAGAACUACAAAAGUAAUCAGAGGCCAAUCAGUGCACGGGAGAACGAUCCACCCCUCUCGGUAGACCAUGCAGCAAGUAACGACCAGGAGAGCCUUGAGUCAUUAAAAGAAAGGGAAUGGUGGAAGCCCUAACCAGAACUACAAACGAAAAGUAGCAAAAGUUAAGAAGACAUGGCGAUUUCUCGAUUUCCCUGGUGCUUUAUAAUGAGCUUUCAGUUCAUUGCUUCUCAGCACCGACCAGGGAGGACUGCUUCACAUGAGCCUCAGCAGAGGUUGAGGACAAAUGAAGAGCCCAGGCUUGGUGGCCUCCUGAACCUUCAGAGCAUCCUCAGCAGGGACGAGUCGAUGUGCACACGCUCUGAAUGUUCUCCUCCCCGAAGGUCUAUCCUCCAGGCCUGUGACUUCCUCACGAGUUUCCUUCCAGUCAGACGAAAGGAAGAAGGCAAAUCUAUCUGCUCCCUUCAAGAUGUCAAGGGCAAGGGCUUCUAGCAUCUCCUGGAAGGCAUUUCUUGACCACUGUCAGGAGGGUUUCCCUGCCCCUGGUCUGUUGCAGUUCAUAGGCUCCCAAGUCUCAGAAUAAUGGAGGACAGGCAGGUGGGGUAUCUGCCCCACAGAGACCCAUCCCCUGAGAAUAAGACAACCCAAAUGCGUAGGGGCUCAGGAGUGGGCGUGUUUCAAGAGGUCCGGGGUUGGGCACCACUGGGUCAGAGCACAUUCCUGCUGGGCCCUGCCCGCCUCUUGAGAGUGGAAAUCUCAUGGACCAUCAGCCUUCCCCAGCCUCCGCCAUGUGUCCCCACCCCAUGCCUCUGCCUCUGCGUGUGAAAUAAACUCGAUUCUCUCUUUU